rnacentral:rRNA from 1 species
UACGUAGGGUGCGAGCGUUAAUCGGAAUUACUGGGCGUAAAGCGUGCGCAGGCGGUGAUGUAAGACCGAUGUGAAAUCCCCGGGCUUAACCUGGGAACUGCAUUGGUGACUGCAUUGCUGGAGUAUGGCAGAGGGGGGUGGAAUUCCACGUGUAGCGGUGAAAUGCGUAGAGAUGUGGAGGAACACCGAUGGCGAAGGCAGCCUUCUGGGCCAACACUGACGCUCAUGCACGAAAGCGUGGGGAGCAAACAGG